rnacentral:rRNA from 1 species
AUUGAACGCUGGCGGCAUGCCUUACACAUGCAAGUCGAACGGCAGCAUGGGUGCUUGCACCUGAUGGCGAGUGGCGAACGGGUGAGUAAUGCAUCGGAACGUACCCGGAAGUGGGGGAUAACGUAGCGAAAGUUACGCUAAUACCGCAUAUUCUGUGAGCAGGAAAGAGGGGGAUCGCAAGACCUCUCGCUUUCGGAGCGGCCGAUGUCAGAUUAGCUAGUUGGUGGGGUAAAAGCCUACCAAGGCAACGAUCUGUAGCGGGUCUGAGAGGAUGAUCAGCCACAUUGGGACUGAGACACGGCCAAACUCCUACGGGAGGCAGCAGUGGGGAAUAUUGGACAAUGGGCGAAAGCCUGAUCCAGCCAUGCCGCGUGAGUGAUGAAGGCCCUAGGGUUGUAAAGCUCUUUUGUGCGGGAAGAUAAAUUGACGGGUAACCGCAAAGAAUAAGCCCCGGCUAACUUCGUGCCAGCAGCCGCGGUAAU